rnacentral:rRNA from 1 species
GACGAACGCUGGCGGCGUGCCUAAUACAUGCAAGUCGUGCGGACCUUGUUGAAAGCUUGCUUUUAAAAGGUUAGCGGCGGACGGGUGAGUAACACGUGGGCAACCUGCCUGUAAGACUGGGAUAACGCCGGGAAACCGGGGCUAAUACCAGAUCGUUUUUUCCUCCGCAUGGAGGAAAAAGGAAAGGCGGCUUCGGCUGCCACUUACAGAUGGGCCCGCGGCGCAUUAGCUAGUUGGCGGGGUAAUGGCCCACCAAGGCAACGAUGCGUAGCCGACCUGAGAGGGUGAUCGGCCACAUUGGGACUGAGACACGGCCCAAACUCCUACGGGAGGCAGCAGUAGGGAAUCUUCCGUAAUGGACGAAAGUCUGACGGAGCAACGCCGCGUGAGUGAAGAAGGCCUUCGGGUCGUAAAACUCUGUUGCCGGGGAAGAACAAGUGCCGUUCGAACAGGGCGGCGCCUUGACGGUACCCGGCCAGAAAGCCACGGCUAACUACGUG